rnacentral:rRNA from 1 species
GACGAACGCUGGCGGCGUGCUUAACACAUGCAAGUCGAACGGAAAGGCCCUGCUUUUGUGGGGUGCUCGAGUGGCGAACGGGUGAGUAACACGUGAGUAACCUGCCCUUGACUUUGGGAUAACUUCAGGAAACUGGGGCUAAUACCGGAUAGGAGCUCCUGCUGCGUGGUGGGGGUUGGAAAGUUUCGGCGGUUGGGGAUGGACUCGCGGCUUAUCGGCUUGUUAGUGGGGUAGUGGCUUACCAAGGCUUUGAAGGGUAGCCGGCCUGGGAGGGUGACCGGCGACAUUGGGACUGAGGUACGGCCCAGACUGCUACGGGAGGCAGCGGUGGGAAAUAUUGCAGAAUGGGCGGAAGCCUGAUGCGGCAACGCCGCGUGCGGGAUGACGGCCUUCGGGUUAUAAACCGCUUUCGCCUGUGACGAAGCGUGAGUGACGGUAAUGGGUAAAGAAGCACCGGCUAACUACGUG